rnacentral:rRNA from 1 species
AACGAACGCUGGCGGCAUGCCUAACACAUGCAAGUCGAACGAGACCUUCGGGUCUAUUGGCGCACGGGUGCGUAACGCGUGGGAACCUGCCCUUAGGUUCGGAAUAACUCCCCGAAAGGUGUGCUAAUACCGGAUAAUGUCUUCGGACCAAAGAUUUAUCGCCUUUGGAUGGGCCCGCGUUGGAUUAGCUAGUUGGUAGGGUAAAAGCCUACCAAGGCGACGAUCCAUAGCUGGUCUGAGAGGAUGAUCAGCCACACUGGGACUGAGACACGGCCCAGAAUCCUACGGGAGGCAGCAGUGGGGAAUAUUGGACAAUGGGCGAAAGCCUGACACAGCAAUGCCGCGUGAGUGAUGAAGGCCUUAGGGUUGUAAAGCUCUUUUACCCGGGAUGAUAAUGACAGUACCGGGAGAAUAAGCUCCGGCUAACUACGUG